ensembl:scaRNA
UAUAGUAGGUCCUCAGUAUAGUCGCCAGUAAGCCCUCAGUAUUUUCCUUAAUCAGGCUCCACUGUGGGCAGCACUGCUUGUCUGGAGCCUGAGAGGUUUAUGAAAAUGUGGUAGGUGAAGUAAGGUCAGGGGGCCUGGCA